CAAAAUGCAUUCUACAUACUGCGUUAUUUGGUAAGCCAAGCUGAUACACAAGUCAAGCCGAAAGUGUGGAGCCAGUAUGAGACUGAGUAAAGGCAUAAUUGUUACACAGGUUAUUUCCUGGACAGUUUGGUGUUGCAGGCAGUGGACCCACAAGAUCUACUCCAAUUCGAUGCCAAGCACUCUUCACUAGGAUGGAAGUAAGCUCUGAGGAAGUUUUAGAAAACUUUGGAUUUGCCUAGAAUAGAUCAAUAACAGCUGAUAACAUUAAACAUGCAGCUGUUGUAGAUCAUAGUCGUUUGCCAAGGACGUACUCUACUUAUAAUUUAUUAUUAUUGUUGUUGUUGUUGUUAUUAUGUAGAUUCCUGGUAUUUUUUGCUAAGUUUGAGUUGUUCUACCUUUUGA